rnacentral:rRNA from 1 species
UAGGGAAUUUUCGUCAAUGGGGGGAACCCUGAACGAGCAAUGCCGCGUGAGUGAGGAAGGUCUUCGGAUCGUAAAGCUCUGUUGUAAGAGAAAAACGGCACUCAUAGGGAAUGAUGAGUGAGUGAUGGUAUCUUACCAGAAAGUCACGGCUAACUACGUGCCAGCAGCCGCGGUAAUACGUAGGUGGCGAGCGUUAUCCGGAAUGAUUGGGCGUAAAGGGUGCGUAGGUGGCAGAGCAAGUCUGGAGUAAAAGGUAUGGGCUCAACCCG